GAAUUCGUAGUCAUAUGCUUGUCUCAAAGAUUAAGCCAUGCAUGUCUAAGUAUAAGCAAUCUAUACCGUGAAACUGCGAAUGGCUCAUUAAAUCAGUUAUCGUUUAUUUGAUAGUACCCUACUACUUGGAUAACCGUGGUAAUUCUAGAGCUAAUACAUGCUAAAAACCCCGACUUACGAAGGGGUGUAUUUAUUAGAUAAAAAACCAAUGUCCUUCGGGACUCCCUGGUGAUUCAUAAUAACUUAACGAAUCGCAUGGCCUUGCGCCGGCGAUGGUUCAUUCAAAUUUCUGCCCUAUCAACUUUCGAUGGUAGGAUAGUGGCCUACCAUGGUUUCAACGGGUAACGGGGAAUUAGGGUUCUAUUCCGGAGAGGGAGCCUGAGAAACGGCUACCACAUCCAAGGAAGGCAGCAGGCGCGCAAAUUACCCAAUCCCGACACGGGGAGGUAGUGACAAUAAAUACUGAUACAGGGCUCUUUUGGGUCUUGUAAUUGGAAUGAGUACAAUUUAAAUCCCUUAACGAGGAACAAUUGGAGGGCAAGUCUGGUGAACUUUAGCAAGUUCCAAAACUUUGGUUUUGGCAUGCUGAUGCCAGAGAUAGUGGGGACUCUUAUGUGAGUCUAUGCCUGCUAGUCGAUGUAUCCCCGUUGUGUGAUGGGUGGAUACCGGCGAGGUAACCUGGUACGGGGAACCCUAAGGGCAUUUGCCUAUGGGAAUCCCGUGGCGAGCUUGAAGUUUUAAUCAUCUUCAAGCCGUCGUAACGCGCGCAAAGGUACCGGCUUUUAAGCUCAAGGGACGUGCUAUUCCUACCCGAAAGGGUACUUUCAUCUGGAGCGCCCAUCACGUAAAGGAUGAAAGAAGUUAAGUUCUUAAAUUCCUGACCUGGUGAGAUAUUUAGUGACUGAGCUUCUUGCUCGCACUUUAUCGAUAUAAGGCCAGCAGCCGCGGUAAUUCCAGCUCCAAUAGCGUAUAUUAAAGUUGUGCCAGUAAAAAGCUCGUAGUUGAACUUGGGCCUGGCUGGCCGGUCCGCCUCACGGCGUGCACUGGUCCGGCCGGGCCUUUCCUCCUGGCUAGCCACAUGUCCUUAACUGGGUGUGUUGGGAACCAGACUUUUACUUGAAAAAUUAGAGUGUUCAAAGCAGGCCUAUGCUCGAAUACAUUAGCAUGGAAUAAUAGAAUAGGACGUGUGGUUCUAUUUUGUUGGUUUCUAGGACCGCCGUAAUGAUUAAUAGGGAUAGUCGGGGGCAUCAGUAUUCAAUUGUCAGAGGUGAAAUUCUUGGAUUUAUUGAAGACUAACUACUGCGAAAGCAUUUGCCAAGGAUGUUUUCAUUAAUCAGUGAACGAAAGUUAGGGGAUCGAAGACGAUCAGAUACCGUCGUAGUCUUAACCAUAAACUAUGCCGACUAGGGAUCGGGCGAUGUUAAUUUUAUGACUCGCUCGGCACCUUACGAGAAAUCAAAGUCUUUGGGUUCUGGGGGGAGUAUGGUCGCAAGGCUGAAACUUAAAG
rnacentral:rRNA from 1 species